rnacentral:rRNA from 1 species
GACUAGCUAACUGAAAUCUUAAGUCAAUUAAAACUGGUACUUAAGUAACGUAAGGGAAAAUAAUGAUAUUACCUUGCUAUAAGGUUGUCCAAAUAACUGGUGCCAGAAGCUCGGUAACGCCAGAAACGCAAACGUUAGUCGUCCUAAUCAGGCGUAAAGGGUGAGUAGGCUGCUUUUAAAGUUAUUAAUUAGAAGCUCUAACUUCAAUAACAAGGCUCUAAUAAAGAAAAGUUUAAAUUUAAAUCGAACUAAUCAGUUAGCAACUGCAGUUAUUUACACAGUUAGUAAUUAAUAAUGAAUAAAAGCUAGAAUCAAACAGAGGAUAAACCGAACAAUGUUUAGAGUAGGGAUGAAAUCCUUAAAUACUAAAUGGAGUACUAAUGGUGAAAACUUUUAUCUAAUAAUGAUUGACGCUGAGGAACGAAGGUGAGAAUAGAAAAUAGGAUUGGAGACCCAGAUAUCCCUCACUGUCAACGAUGAAUGGUGGUUGUUAGUUUUAAAAAGAACUAGUAACGAUGUUACGCGAUAACCAUCCGCCUUGCGAGUACGGUUGCAAAACUGAAACCAAAAAAAUUAGUCGUCUCGGAGCAAACGAAUGAAG